UUUGGCACAAACAUCUAGCUAUCAUCUUGCUCUGCCAGCGCUCAGUUCUUGUCGGCGGUGUUUGUGUAAUUUUCGAAAACAAUUUGUGUGAAAUAUGUGCGUGGAAAGUAAACAAACGCCGAAGAAUCGAAAUAUUACGCAUACGCGGUGUGCUGGCUGUGCCCCAGAAACAACAACAGGUCUGUUUUGGGCCAGAUGUUACCUUCGCUCGAUCUAAACAACGGCGGCUGGAAAGAAAUUGAAAUUCACUGGAAUCGAUCAAUGAAUGAACCGAACGCCUGACCCUGAGCAUCCAAAUGGCAAUGGGAGGGGGAAGUGCCUUAUUUAUGUUUGCUUAACUUGCCCCAUUAUUUGGCCAGCGCAGUGUUCAAACAAACAGUGUUUUCUCUUGGAUAAACGCACGGCGAGCACUUCAACUCCAGAUCACCUGAUACUGAAUGAAGGGGGUUCAGUUUCAGGCCUUGUCAAUCCCAAUCCGUUCGCAUCAAGUAAAGCUUUCACCCGAGCGAAACUAAAUGGUUUUGGUCUACGGAAUCUGUUUGCUCGAAAGCUUUUGCCAAGCAAGUUGCCAGAUAACUUGCCCCCAACUUUGAAUAUUCCCCAUAAGCCCCUGAUUAACUGGAAAGCCGAGUUCUUGGUAAACAUUUAGCAAACAUCCCGUUGGAUGAAUCAUUUACGAUAUGGCUAUGAUUUAUUAAAGUUAAUUACUUAAUCAUCU
ensembl:ncRNA asRNA:CR43243 antisense RNA:CR43243